rnacentral:rRNA from 1 species
UUGAACGCUGGCGGCAUGCCUUACACAUGCAAGUCGAACGGCAGCACGGGUGCUUGCACCUGGUGGCGAGUGGCGAACGGGUGAGUAAUACAUCGGAACAUGUCCUGUAGUGGGGGAUAGCCCGGCGAAAGCCGGAUUAAUACCGCAUACGAUCUACGGAUGAAAGCGGGGGACCUUCGGGCCUCGCGCUAUAGGGUUGGCCGAUGGCUGAUUAGCUAGUUGGUGGGGUAAAGGCCUACCAAGGCGACGAUCAGUAGCUGGUCUGAGAGGACGACCAGCCACACUGGGACUGAGACACGGCCCAGACUCCUACGGGAGGCAGCAGUGGGGAAUUUUGGACAAUGGGCGAAAGCCUGAUCCAGCAAUGCCGCGUGUGUGAAGAAGGCCUUCGGGUUGUAAAGCACUUUUGUCCGGAAAGAAAUCCUUGGCUCUAAUACAGUCGGGGGAUGACGGUACCGGAAGAAUAAGCACCGGCUAACUACGUGCCAGCAGCCGCGGUAAUACGUAGGGUGCGAGCGUUAAUCGGAAUUACUGGGCGUAAAGCGUGCGCAGGCGGUUUGCUAAGACCGAUGUGAAAUCCCCGGGCUCAACCUGGGAACUGCAUUGGUGACUGGCAGGCUAGAGUAUGGCAGAGGGGGGUAGAAUUCCACGUGUAGCAGUGAAAUGCGUAGAGAUGUGGAGGAAUACCGAUGGCGAAGGCAGCCCCCUGGGCCAAUACUGACGCUCAUGCACGAAAGCGUGGGGAGCAAACAGGAUUAGAUACCCUGGUAGUCCACGCCCUAAACGAUGUCAACUAGUUGUUGGGGAUUCAUUUCCUUAGUAACGUAGCUAACGCGUGAAGUUGACCGCCUGGGGAGUACGGUCGCAAGAUUAAAACUCAAAGGAAUUGACGGGGACCCGCACAAGCGGUGGAUGAUGUGGAUUAAUUCGAUGCAACGCGAAAAACCUUACCUACCCUUGACAUGGUCGGAAUCCCGCUGAGAGGUGGGAGUGCUCGAAAGAGAACCGGCGCACAGGUGCUGCAUGGCUGUCGACAGCUCGUGUCGUGAGAUGUUGGGUUAAGUCCCGCAACGAGCGCAACCCUUGUCCUUAGUUGCUACGCAAGAGCACUCUAAGGAGACUGCCGGUGACAAACCGGAGGAAGGUGGGGAUGACGUCAAGUCCCCAUGGCCCUUAUGGGUAGGGCUUCACACGUCAUACAAUGGUCGGAACAGAGGGUUGCCAACCCGCGAGGGGGAGCUAAUCCCAGAAAACCGAUCGUAGUCCGGAUUGCACUCUGCAACUCGAGUGCAUGAAGCUGGAAUCGCUAGUAAUCGCGGAUCAGCAUGCCGCGGUGAAUACGUUCCCGGGUCUUGUACACACCGCC